UCAAGGUGAAAGGGAAAUAGGAAAGAGGAGUAAAACACUCGCACCCCAACGAACACACAAAGGCAAACCCGCAUGCCUACAUACGUGAGAGUACCGGCACGACCAGAUUUUUCUUUAAGCUUAAAAAACAAAAGUUGGGGACCUAAGUUCCCAAAUUACAAUCCCCAUUCCCAACAAACUGAAGGCAGUACAACUCGCAAAAGAUGGCUGUGUGCAGAGAUCUCAACUCUCUUCCCCCACCGAGUCACUUAGAAGCCCGACCAGCGCCGGCGAACCCGCGGUCUGGGGGCCAUUACUUGGAAGCUCACCUCCUCCUGCAGCAAGUGGGCCGGCAUCUGGGCUCUCGGACGCUGGGAUCACUUUCCCAGGGCUGAGACUGCGGAGCGGAGUUCGGGGCAGCCCGAACUGAGGGUAGGUUAGUUCCCGAGGCCGCUUUUGGCGCGGCGAUCCGCGGCGCUGCGCUCGGAACCCUUUGCUGCACGGUGCGCGCUGGAUCGGUGUCCGGAACCCGACCUGCUGUGCGUGGAUCUCCCCAGGCUGGUGAUUUAAAGGCUAAAGCUGGCAGUGGGUGACCGGGUCCCGUAUUUCCUCAGACCCUUUUAUUCGUUGCCAACAAGGGGCAAAGUAAGCAGAGUUGUCUCACCGUGGGAGAUCCGCAUGGGCGGGAGAGGGGAGGAGACGCAAAAAUUGGAUGCUGCAGACACACCGCGGCUUGGCCGCCGCAGCCCCUGCCUCUGGCCCUGCCCCUGGGGAAAUUCUAAUGGGCUUCUGUAGACUCUGGCGCGUCAUUGGCCGAAGGGAAUUUGGUGCCACCUCGUCCUGCCGUUGCCAUUGGCUCGGCGCAAUCUGCUGUUUCCUCUGCCGCGAGCUCCUCACUCCCCCUCCCCUCCCUUUCUCCUUCUAGGCUUCUCUUCCACCGGCCGCUGGGCCUCUGCCCGGCACCCCGCCGCCUAGGAGGCGCUCAGAAGGGUCCUCUCUGGAAGAGGGAGAGGACCCGAUCGGGGAACUGGGGAACGGGGGGUGGGUGCCAGCCCAGCACUGGCCCCGGGCACUUCGCGAAUGGAUGGGCACUGGGGAAGUUUCCCGGGGAGGAGUGGGGAAGCCACACGGGCGACCACUACACACAACUGCACCCCCGCCUUCCCGCUCGCCGAGACGCGUAGGAGGGGAGACUUGCUUUCAAGCCCGGGGUCGCGGGCCACGGGCCCAGCGAAGCCCCGCCUCUCUCCGUGGCGAGCGCGGAGGCGGUGGGGUGGGGGGGUCGGUCCACGGCGGAACAAUGGUUCUGCCCCGCCUACCAGCGGCGCGGCGCUAACCCCGGACUGCUGAACUCGCGGGUCCCCAGCCUCGCGCACGCAUAGAUGCACUGAUGUGUAAACCUGCACGUGCGCACGAUGUUGAGCCACUGGGCACGCCCAGCAGGGGACGUUCACCGCCAGGCACCAGUGAGCUGUCCCAUCCCUGUGCCCACGCCUCCAGAACGUGUGCGGGAUGUUUUGGAGAUUCUUAAGAUUGUCGGGUUGUAGUUUUGGAAUUGCCUUCAUGGGGAAAGGCAGGAAGCACCAGACAUGUGCUUUCACUCAGAAGCAAGAGAAAGUACUUACCCUGGACUUCAGCAGAGAACAAGCUGAAAAGUCAGAGUUCCCUGGAAACUGCCAUCCUCCUCACUUAGACUCAGGCAGGUAGACCUCAGACCAGUUGGAACCUGAAGGUUGAUGAUGCUGACUCCUACUUACCUCACCACCAACCCAUCAGGAGAAUGUCCACAAGCUGAUCACGGCCUCUUUGAACCAUUACUGUAAAACUUCUCACUAUCCUCUCCAAGAGGGACACAUAGUUUUCAAGGGCAGGAGCACACUGUGUCCCCCUUUGCCUGGCAAAGCAAUAAAGCUGUCCUUUUCAA